GAUGAACGCUGGCGGCGUGCCUAAUACAUGCAAGUCGAGCGAACGGACGAGAAGCUUGCUUCUCUGAUGUUAGCGGCGGACGGGUGAGUAACACGUGGAUAACCUACCUAUAAGACUGGGAUAACUUCGGGAAACCGUAGCUAAUACCGGAUAAUAUUUUGAACCGCAUGGUUCAAAAGUGAAAGACGGUCUUGCUGUCACUUAUAGAUGGAUCCGCGCUGCAUUAGCUAGUUGGUAAGGUAACGGCUUACCAAGGCAACGAUGCAUAGCCGACCUGAGAGCGUGAUCGGCCACCCUGGAACAGAGACACGGCAGAGACUCCUAGGGGAAGAAGCAGCAGAGAAUCUUACGCAAUGGGGGAAUGCCUGAUGGAGCACCACGGCGUGAGUGAUGAAGGUCUUCGGCUCGUAAAGCUCUGUUAUUAGGGAAGAACAUAUGUGUAAGUAACUGUGAACAUCUUGACGGUACCUAAACAGAAAGCCACGGCUAACUACGUG
rnacentral:rRNA from 1 species